UUGUCAUCCUUGUUUCUUCAUUUUUUUUCUCUUUCUUUGCCAGUCCUAUAUCUUUCUUUAACUAUUUGUUUCUUUAGCCUUUAUUUUUUUUCUUUCUUUUUCCUUUCUCUUGUAAGUUUGACACAGUUAAUAAGUCUGAAGGAUCGGGUUAGUUCCCUAAAGAACUGAUUGCGAGUGAUCGAGUGGAAAAAGGCAUUGAGCGUUGUGAGAAUAGAAGGGGAGACAAAAAAAAACCAUUCAAGCAUUCUCUCAAGUGAAACACGAGCGCUGAGUGUAUUUUGAGUGCACCGUUCUUUGGAGUGAAAACC
rnacentral:lncRNA from 1 species